AGAACGAACGCUGGCGGCAGGCUUAACACAUGCAAGUCGAACGCGUGUAGCAAUACACGAGUGGCGCACGGGUGAGUAACGCGUGGAUAUCUGCCUUUUGGUUCGGAAUAACCCCGGGAAACUGGGGCUAAUACCGGAUGGUUCCUACGGGAUAAAGAUUUAUCGCCAAAAGAUGAGUCCGCGUCCGAUUAGCUAGUUGGUGGGGUAAUGGCCUACCAAGGCGACGAUCGGUAGCUGGUCUGAGAGGACGAUCAGCCACACUGGGACUGAGACACGGCCCAGACUCCUACGGGAGGCAGCAGUGGGGAAUAUUGGACAAUGGGGGCAACCCUGAUCCAGCCAUGCCGCGUGAGUGAUGAAGGCCUUCGGGUUGUAAAGCUCUUUUGGCGGGGACGAUGAUGACGGUACCCGCAGAAUAAGCCCGGCUAACUCGUGCCAGCAGCCGC
rnacentral:rRNA from 1 species